CAGCAGCCACGGUAAUACGGAGGGUGCAAGCGUUAAUCGGAAUUACUGGGCGUAAAGCGCACGCAGGCGGUCUGUCAAGUCAGAUGUGAAAUCCCCGGGCUUAACCUGGGAACUGCAUUUGAAACUGGCAGACUGGAGUCUUGUAGAGGGGGGUAGAAUUCCAGGUGUAGCGGUGAAAUGCGUAGAGAUCUGGAGGAAUACCGGUGGCGAAGGCGGCCCCCUGGACAAAGACUGACGCUCAGGUGCGAAAGCGUGGGGAGCAAACAGGAUUAGAUACCCGAGUAGUCCCUGUCUCUUAUAC
rnacentral:rRNA from 1 species